rnacentral:misc_RNA from 1 species
GGGUGUCGACGGAUAGACACCC